UACGUAGGUGGCAAGCGUUAUCCGGAUUUACUGGGUGUAAAGGGAGCGUAGACGGCCAGGCAAGUCUGAUGUGAAAGGCGGGGGCUCAACCCCCGGACUGCAUUGGAAACUGUUUGGCUUGAGUGCCGGAGAGGUAAGCGGAAUUCCUAGUGUAGCGGUGAAAUGCGUAGAUAUUAGGAGGAACACCAGUGGCGAAGGCGGCUUACUGGACGGUAACUGACGUUGAGGCUCGAAAGCGUGGGGAGCAA
rnacentral:rRNA from 1 species